AGCUUUGCGCAGUGGCAGUACCGUAGCCAGCAAGGUUUAUCUGAGGCACAAGUAUUGCUCAUUGAAAACUUUUCCCAAUACCCUGCCGUGACGUCUUGCAAUAUAGUCGGCAUUGGCAAUUUUUGACAGUCUCUACGGAGA
ensembl:snRNA U4 U4 spliceosomal RNA